rnacentral:rRNA from 1 species
GAGUGGUUUGGCACCUCGAUGUCGGCUCAUCGCAUCCUGGAGAGGGAGCAGGUUCCAAGGGGGGGGCUGUGAGAGAAUUAAAGCGGGAAGAGAGCUGGGGCAAGAACGUCGUGAGAGAGUUCGGUCGGGAGAAGGCGCAGGGGGAGGAAAUUUGAGAGGAGCUGUCCUGAGGAGGAGAGGACCGGGAUGGACGGAACGCUGGUGGAGGUGUUGUACUGGAAAGGGCAUAGCAGAGUAGCCAAGUCGGGAAGGGAUAAACGCUGAAGGCAUCUAAGCGUGAAGCCCCCCGAAAGAUAAGAU